ACCGCUCGCCAGCCCAUGAAGCCAAUCAAGGCGAUGUAGACAGCUACCAGGCAGCUGGCAACAGGAGGAGGAAGAAGAGAGGACAGGAUGUGGCAGCCAAGCAGAAGCCCAGAAAGGCAGGAGCAGUUCUGUGAUACGUGGAAUUGUGUCCAUGCCACCUUCCCAGCUCCAGCCAUCUGUGAUGCUAUAAGCAUGUGCCAGGGAACCAAACUUGCCCCAGCUACCUCUCUAACCUUAAGAGAAAGACUCAUCUGUGGUGUGGCUCCUCUGACCGUGGUGGAUUUUAAUCAAAGGAUGAGUGCUUCCCACUGCCUGGGGCUUAAGCUGUACAUGAAUAAACAAAGCCUGUGGCCCAGUAACUCAUCACUAAGUAAAAAGGGUAACAGCUGGGCACUGUGGCAUCCCUUUAGGACUGACAGCACACUCACCAUGAAUGAAGUAGCCCUGCUCCUGCCAGAUGAGAAAGGCGUCUCCCACUGCCGAGAAUAUGAGUCCUGCUAGGAUGCGGCUGGCGCUCCGGUGUGACACUAAGAAGUUAAUUCCAUGAGCCAGAAGGAAAACCCACAAGCAGAAGAUGGGCAAACAUUUGAUGAGAGCACUGAACCAGGAGGGGCUGGAAGUUGGCAACCAGAGGACAAAAUAGACGCAAGUGGCUUUAAAGAAGGGCACUAGUUUGGGGCCUUCACUCUUCACCUGAAAGAAAGAAACAUUGACAAUAGUAAAUUAAAGAGGGGCAUCAGUAGAGCAAACUGUGUAACUGAACUGUCUCCUUCCUCUGAAAGCUGCUCUUUCAUCUAUGAUGCCAGCUAGCAGCAUUUCUACCCUAAGAAGGGCUGGCUGAACUUGACAAUGGAGGUUGCUUUUGGCAUCGCCGCAUGACUUCAAACCCCAUCACCUCAGCCUCUCAGGGCAGGAUGUGAGUUCCUCAGCUGACUAAUGACAGCAUCAAUCAGGUGUUGCUUUGCUCUAGCAAUACACUAAUAACAUACUGCCCAUACUACAGGAAGCGUUUUGACUCAAGGCUCUGCUGUGUAAACCCAGACACAGAAAUGCAGCCUGACCACAGGGCUACUUGUAACAAAGCCACAGCAGAGGCAGGGACCAGAGUGACAGACUCCACAAGCUGGGCCUGUUCUUACCAUACAUCUAGCUGAGACCACUCUGGGCAGUGAUAAGAUGCACCUGGUGUUCACCUGCCUUCCUGUGAUACAUCUGCAUUCUUAGUGCAGGUGGAGAAAACCCCACAGGAAAAACAAAGCUGUGGUUUUAUUUUCCUCCUGAGGUGCAGCUGAGGGCCAAAACUAGGAAGAAAGGAAUAGAAUGUGACAGCCUCUGGUGCCUGCCUGGGGUCUUUCAGGACUGUUUCCUCCUGCAGAAAAGGCAGUGCAGCCUUCAGAACUGCCCUGCAAGCAAGGGUUGCUUUCAUCUUCUCAUUUCUUUGGUCAGUCAAGAUUUAGUCGCUUAGUAUCACAAUUUCCCACUACUCAUAGCCAAAGCACAGAGAAUCCUCCUGCACUGGAGGAGGACAUGGUGCAGAAUACAGAAGCAGUGGAGCUGGGUUCACACUGCAAAGCCCAUCAUAUCUGAACACCCAUGUGUGACUCUCUGGGGUGCUGACACAAGGAGCCCAAGCUCCAAAAACCUGCAAAAGAAACAGUGGUCUUUUUUUCCAAAUCACUUGGCCCUAUUUCUGCUUCCUGCAUCAUGAGACAUUGCUGUGACAGAAACCCAGCUUCCAUUUCCCUUUGAUGCAAUGUGCCUUGGUGCAGAUACUCAAAUAGCUGAAGACUGCACAGCAAAUAUCUUCAUGCUUACAGCACUCAGUCAUUAAAGCCUAAACUCAUCAAAAUUCAGAAGCUUUUGCAGACACAAGAGAAGCUGGAAGACAAAGGCAGAGCUGGUGGAGGACACCUUUACAUGCAGUAUCUAAAAAGGGAAUGCAAUCUCUGAAGAAACAAGACCAUAAAUAAAGGGCAUCCCAAGAAGACAGUGCUUUCAAAACUGUUCUCACAUCUGAUGGAAUUUUCCCCAGCACAUCAGCAGUUUCUUAGCAGGAAGGUACUUCAUUAUUCCUAUAUACAUUAUUCAUAGGCUAUUGCCAACACCAUUUUUAAACACUCCAUUAAACAAGCAGGCUACACAAUUCACUCACAAAGGGACAUCAGCAAGCCGUUAACUUUCUUGUAGUACACGGGGAGCCUGUCGUGAGUCCUCUACUUAGGUUGUCUAAAUUAAUCACCAUUUACCACUUCUCCUCUACAUUCCUUGGGAGAAUUCUGGCAGCAAAUAACAAAUGAACUUGACAUAAAACUCAUAAAAGCCCACGGAGUCUCACAGCACAGGGGGUGUCUGCAAACUAUCAAGUAUCACAAGGCAAAGAAUGGAGCCAAGCUUCCUCCUUCAGCCCUUCUAAAGUAGGCUAUCCAAAGCCUGUGCCCACCCAGCUCCAGCUCUGCCUCUUCCCCUUCUGACUCUUUUUCAUUAAGAAGGUAGCUGAUUGCAUUCAUCCUCUCCAGUUGCAGGCAACAGAUGACAGUGCUUCUGGCAGGGUUUCCUCCUCUCCCCCCCACCAUAAUGAGCCCAGGAUCUUCACCAAGGAGCUACAAAGCAUGAAAGCAUUUUCAGCAUCAACAGUGCUCUAGGUCCCUCUAACAGUCUCAGCUAAGGUAGGUGGUUUUGUAUCUCUGAAGACAAAAGUUCAUGCUGAAUGAUACAGUUAAAGCUCAGCCUUGUCUGCAACACAUCCCAGAGGCACUGGUAGAAGCAUACAGGAGAGUGGUUGGGUUAAUAAACACAGGAAGUUUUAUUUAAUACCUCAUAUUAAAAGAGAAACAUCUGCUAGCAGCAGUCACCACUAGAAUCACAGCUUACCCUCCCCUGUGUGUGUGCAUGAUGAGACAGGUUUUAAUUACACUUGCCAUUUUCCCCAGGAGCCUUGCCUUCCUGAAUAGAAGAUAUGCACUUGUGCUGAAAGAUUAUGGUUGCUUGCUAGCCUUGAAAUUACCAUUUUUACUAUUUCAAUAUGAACUUUUCCAAGCCCAGCCAGCAUUAUUUGAAAACAGUGGUCUGUAGUAUUUCCAUUCUCAUAACAAUUAAGGACUUUUUCUAGCACAAGGAGUUUCCAGUCUCAGUUACUCACUUAUAACCUUGGAAUUUAUAGUGUUGCAGAGUCCUUGUGUAAGAAUAACCUCAUGUAUCUAGAAGGGCUACAGGCUUCUCAUUAAUGCUUUACUCCUUGAUGCUUUUUCUACAAGUAGGCUUCAAAUGAGUUAUUUCCCAACCUGCCCUUGCCAUUACUGAAUGAGCAGCUGCAGCUCAGUGGAGCCCUUGUGCUGGCUCCAACCCAAAUGGGUGCCCCACCAGAGACUCCACCUGCUAAGACAGAGGUGCCUGUGCAGCUGAGGGCUGGCCAGCACAUCCUGCUGGGAUAGCAUGGCACUGGAAAUACUCUCCUGAGAAAGGCUGAGGUAACCAGAGGGUGAAGAUGGGGGAUUUGCUUCUGUUUGGAUAUGUGGCCAAGGCCUGGGAAGAGGUGAUGGGGCAACUUACCACCUGGAGGACAAGUCAAGGCUGGCAUAGGGAAACCAUGUACCAACAAGUGGAGACUGUGGCUUGAGGAAAGACAAGCACGUCAUUCAUGACUGGACUUGCCUGUACCUCAGGGAAGGGAACACUAUUUCUAGGCUGCAUCAAAACACCCAUCCUCUUUUUGCACCUCUGUCUCACAGAAUAUGAGCUGGGGCUGUGCCACUUGCAGAGGUGACAAGGUCCUCUUUGCUAAUCCCUGUGAUUUUCAUGGCUUUAAGCUGGGUUUUGACAUUUUGUUACAAAUUCUAUCGCAUUUUGCUUCCUACUCAUUUUCUUCUCCUGUUGCUAUUUUACUCUGGGCUAAAAUGCAGUACAGAAAACAUCCUGAAUGCAAUGGCAAGGCAGAAAUUCCAAUUUUGAAUUUCUAAACUGAGCAUAAUUUAAGGCAUUUUUUCAAGUGCUAUGUUACUUAGUACUAUGUUACUUAGUCUUUAGAAAUCAGUUUACAUUCCUGUAAAUCCACUACCUCUGUGGAAUUCCAGUGAAAGUAUCAUCUAUUAAAUUAUCUGUAUCCAGCCACACCAAA